AACGAACGCUGGCGGCAGGCCUAACACAUGCAAGUCGAACGCUGUAGCAAUACAGAGUGGCGGACGGGUGAGUAACGCGUGGGAACAUGCCCUUCGGUUCGGAAUAACUCAGGGAAACUUGAGCUAAUACCGGAUACGCCCUUAGGGGGAAAGAUUUAUUGCCGAAGGAUUGGCCCGCGUCCGAUUAGCUAGUUGGUGAGGUAACGGCUCACCAAGGCGACGAUCGGUAGCUGGUCUGAGAGGAUGAUCAGCCACACUGGGACUGAGACACGGCCCAGACUCCUACGGGAGGCAGCAGUGGGGAAUAUUGGACAAUGGGCGCAAGCCUGAUCCAGCCAUGCCGCGUGAGUGAUGAAGGCCCUAGGGUUGUAAAGCUCUUUCGCCAGGGACGAUAAUGACGGUACCUGGAUAAGAAGCCCCGGCUAACUUCGUGCCAGCCGCCGCAGUAAGAC
rnacentral:rRNA from 1 species